AUUGAACGCUGGCGGCAGGCCUAACACAUGCAAGUCGAGCGGAUGAAGGGAGCUUGCUCCUGGAUUCAGCGGCGGACGGGUGAGUAAUGCCUAGGAAUCUGCCUGGUAGUGGGGGAUAACGUCCGGAAACGGGCGCUAAUACCGCAUACGUCCUGAGGGAGAAAGUGGGGGAUCUUCGGACCUCACGCUAUCAGAUGAGCCUAGGUCGGAUUAGCUAGUUGGUGGGGUAAAGGCCUACCAAGGCGACGAUCCGUAACUGGUCUGAGAGGAUGAUCAGUCACACUGGAACUGAGACACGGUCCAGACUCCUACGGGAGGCAGCAGUGGGGAAUAUUGGACAAAGGGCGAAAGCCUGAUCCAGCCAUGCCGCGUGUGUGAAGAACGUCUUCGGAUUGUAAAGCACUUUAAGUUGGGAGGAAGGGCAGUAAGUUAAUACCUUGCUGUUUUGACGUUACCAACAGAAUAAGCACCGGCUAACUUCGUG
rnacentral:rRNA from 1 species